rnacentral:rRNA from 1 species
UACGUGGGUGGCUAGCGUUGUUCGGAAUUACUGGGCGUAAAGCGCACGUAGGCGGACUGGAAAGUCAGAGGUGAAAUCCCAGGGCUCAACCUUGGAACUGCCUUUGAAACUCCCGGUCUUGAGGCCGAGAGAGGUGAGUGGAAUUCCGAGUGUAGAGGUGAAAUUCGUAGAUAUUCGGAGGAACACCAGUGACGAAGGCGGCUCACUGGCUCGAUACUGACGCUGAGGUGCGAAAGCGUGGGGAGCAAACAGG